GACGAACGCUGGCGGCGUGCCUAAUACAUGCAAGUCGAACGCAGUGGGGACGGAUGAGUAACACGUGGGUAACCUCCCAUCAGAGGGGAUUACACUUGGAAACAGGUGCUAAACCGAUACUGAUGGAUGGACCCGCGGUGCAUUAGCUAGUUGGUGAGGUAACGGCGCACCAAGGCCACGAUGCAUAGCUGGGUUUGGAGGGUGACAGGCCACAGUGGGACUGAGAGCCGGCCCAGACUCCUCCGGGAGGCAGCAGUGGGGAAUUGGUGGCAAUGGGGGAAAGUCUGAUCGAGCCACGCCGCGUGAGUGAAGAAGGCCUUCGGGUCGUAAAACUCUGUUGGUAGAGAAGCGGUACCUAACGAGAAAGCAACGGCUAACUACGUGCCAGCAGCCGCGGUAAUUC
rnacentral:rRNA from 1 species